rnacentral:rRNA from 1 species
AUUAAUACCGCAUACGCCCGUACGGGGGAAAGCCGGGGAUCUUCGGACCUGGCGCUAGUAGAUGAGCCCGCGUGAGAUUAGCUUGUUGGUGGGGUAAUGGCCUACCAAGGCGACGAUCGGUAGCUGGUCUGAGAGGAUGAUCAGCCACACUGGGACUGAGACACGGCCCAGACUCCUACGGGAGGCAGCAGUGGGGAGUAUUGGACAAUGGGCGAAAGCCUGAUCCAGCAAUGCCGCGUGUGUGAAGAAGGCCUGAGGGUUGUAAAGCACUUUCAAUCGUGAAGAAAAGUUGCAGGCUAAUACCCUGUGACCUUGACGUUAACGAUACAAGAAGCACCGGCUAACUCCGUG